AUUGAACGCUGGCGGCAGGCCUAACACAUGCAAGUCGAACGAGUGGCGGAAGGGUGAGUAAUGUAUGGGAAACUGCCCGAUGGAGGGGGAUAACUACUGGAAACGGUAGCUAAUACCGCAUACCAUCGGAUGUGCCCAGAUGGGAUAAGCUAGUAGGUGGGGUACCGGCUCACCUAGGCGACGAUCCCUAGCUGGGCUGAGAGGAUGACCAGCCACACGGGAACUAUGACACGGUCCAGACUCCUACGGGAGGCAGCAGUGGGGAAUAUUGCACAAUGGGCGCAAGCCUGAUGCAGCCAUGCCGCGUGUAUGAAGAAGGCCUUCGGGUUGUAAAGUACUUUCAGCGGGGAGGCGUUACCUGCAGAGGAAGCACCGGCUAACUCCGUGCCAGCCGCCGCGGUAAUUC
rnacentral:rRNA from 1 species